CAGCACAGUCACCCUCUGCCAUCCCUCAUGUGGUCCAUGCUCCAGCCCUAACCACUGCAAGGACCUUCUCUGGUCACCAGAAUCAUGCCUUGUAAAGGAAGUGAGAGGUGGAGGAAUGAAAACAGCUCAUGAAAAAUCCCAGUGAGGACUUGCACAAGGCUUUCAACACCAUUAUAUCCAAUGUCAGAAGGGUUGUGGCCUUUGUUUGCAGACCACAGGUACAAUUGUUUCCUGCUUUUUCUGGCCCAGUAUCUGGUGAGAUAAAGUUAUACAUUACCCAGAC